UAAAAUGUUAAAUUUAAUUUCGACUUAAAUAUAUGAUAUAAAUAUAUCCAUUUUAG
rnacentral:tRNA from 1 species